rnacentral:rRNA from 1 species
GACGAACGCUGGCGGCGUGCUUAACACAUGCAAGUCGAACGGAAAGGCCCUGCUUUUGUGGGGUGCUCGAGUGGCGAACGGGUGAGUAACACGUGAGUAACCUGCCCUUGACUUUGGGAUAACUUCAGGAAACUGGGGCUAAUACCGGAUAGGAGCUCCUGCUGCAUGGUGGGGGUUGGAAAGUUUCGGCGGUUGGGGAUGGACUCGCGGCUUAUCAGCUUGUUGGUGGGGUAGUGGCUUACCAAGGCUUUGACGGGUAGCCGGCCUGAGAGGGUGACCGGCCACAUUGGGACUGAGAUACGGCCCAGACUCCUACGGGAGGCAGCAGUGGGGAAUAUUGCACAAUGGGCGGAAGCCUGAUGCAGCAACGCCGCGUGCGGGAUGACGGCCUUCGGAUUGUAAACCGCUUUCGCCUGUGACGAAGCGUGAGUGACGGUAAUGGGUAAAGAAGCACCGGCUAACUACGUGCCAGCAGCCGCGGUGAUACGUAGGGUGCGAGCGUUGUCCGGAUUUAUUGGGCGUAAAGGGCUCGUAGGUGGUUGAUCGCGUCGGAAGUGUAAUCUUGGGGCUUAACCCUGAGCGUGCUUUCGAUACGGGUUGACUUGAGGAAGGUAGGGGAGAAUGGAAUUCCUGGUGGAGCGGUGGAAUGCGCAGAUAUCAGGAGGAACACCAGUGGCGAAGGCGGUUCUCUGGGCCUUUCCUGACGCUGAGGAGCGAAAGCGUGGGGAGCGAACAGGCUUAGAUACCCUGGUAGUCCACGCUGUAAACGGUGGGUACUAGGUGUGGGGUCCAUUCCACGGGUUCCGUGCCGUAGCUAACGCUUUAAGUACCCCGCCUGGGGAGUACGGCCGCAAGGCUAAAACUCAAAGGAAUUGACGGGGCCCCGCACAAGCGGCGGAGCAUGCGGAUUAAUUCGAUGCAACGCGUAGAACCUUACCUGGGUUUGACAUGGAUCGGGAGUGCUCAGAGAUGGGUGUGCCUCUUUUGGGGUCGGUUCACAGGUGGUGCAUGGCUGUCGUCAGCUCGUGUCGUGAGAUGUUGGGUUAAGUCCCGCAACGAGCGCAACCCUUGUUCACUGUUGCCAGCACGUUAUGGUGGGGACUCAGUGGAGACCGCCGGGGUCAACUCGGAGGAAGGUGGGGAUGACGUCAAGUCAUCAUGCCCCUUAUGUCCAGGGCUUCACGCAUGCUACAAUGGCUGGUACAGAGAGUGGCGAGCCUGUGAGGGUGAGCGAAUCUCGGAAAGCCGGUCUCAGUUCGGAUUGGGGUCUGCAACUCGACCUCAUGAAGUCGGAGUCGCUAGUAAUCGCAGAUCAGCAACGCUGCGGUGAAUACGUUCCCGGG